rnacentral:rRNA from 1 species
ACGAACGCUGGCGGCGUGCUUAACACAUGCAAGUCGAACGGGUCUGCCCUGUUUUUUGCGGGGUGGGUCAGUGGCGAACGGGUGAGUAACACGUGAGUAACCUGCCCCUCACUUCUGGAUAACCGCUUGAAAGGGUGGCUAAUACGGGGUGUUCUGGCUGUGCCGCAUGGUGUGGCUGGGAAAGAUUCACUUUUGUGGUGUUUUGGUGGGGGAUGGGCUCGCGGCCUAUCAGCUUGUUGGUGGGGUGAUGGCCUGCCAAGGCUUUGACGGGUAGCCGGCCUAAGAGGGUGGGCGGUCACACUGGGACUGAGAUACGGCCCAGACUCCUGCGGGAGGCAGCAGUGGGGGGUAUUGCACAAUGGGCGGAAGCCUGAUGCAGCGACGUCGCGUGAGGGAUGGAGGCCUUCGGGUUGUGAACCUCUUUCGCCGGUGAAGAAGGUCCUGCUCUUUGUGGUGGGGUUGACGGUAGCCGGGUUAUGAAGCGCCGGCUAACUACGUG